rnacentral:ncRNA from 1 species
AGACAGGCAGUGAAGAGAAGAGUACGCGGAAGGAUACGCCAAAGAGAGCUCCGGUUGGUGAAAAGGAGCGCGGAGAGAAUCGCGGAAGAUGGCCUCUGAGCCUGGUGUGCCGAAUGAUGAGGCAGCCCGGGAUCUCCCGUUACAGAGAUGCGGUAUCAAGGCUUUGGCCGGCGUACCUACGGAGGCUUUCGCGGCGACGCGGAGGCGAAAUUGGGUGGUAACACGAAUAUCUCGUCCCUUUC